CGACACCGUGUGCGUGCACGUGUAACAACAACAGACAUAGCCUUGCCAAGCCCUGACUCACUUCCGCUCUCGCCCUCUUCUCCCUCUGCCCACCACCCGCCUCGCUCCUCGUCAGCUGUGCUGCGCAGUGUCGACCGCCUUAUCGCUCUUUCUCCCGUUCACAUCCGUGUUGCCCUUGUUUGCUUUCGGCGUUGCGGAGCCGCGCAAAUGGCGUGCAACAUCAGUAUUGCCAUCUACAUCAUCCUCCAGUUCAUCGCGUUCUUUUUCGUGCUGGUGGGUACGCCGCUCGACAUGUUUCGCGGCACGAACAAGGAGGUUGCGUUCUCGCAUUUCUGCUUGACGUUGUGGGGCGCAAAAUGGGGCUGCUCCAACAGUUCGUACUUUCUCAAGUCGGACGAGGUGUGGACGAAUUGUACGGGCCGCCGCAACCGCUUCCGCGCUGCUCAGGCAUUGGCUGUGAUCUCCAUCUUCCUGUAUGGCGCGGCGUUCGUCUUGGGCAUCUUUUUUCUGCUCUGCUGCCCUUUCUUUCGCUGGGUGUGCCUGGUUCUCAACAUCGUUGGCAUCUUCUCCUUGGGCAUUGUCUGGGCGGCCGUGGUGUUGACUCACUACGCAGAUGAGGAUGACCAUUGCCCCAAGAUGGAGCGCUUCUUUAAGUUGGGCGUCGGCUUCGCUUUCUUCUUGGUGGCCUGGUGCCUGGAUAUCAUCAACAUCUUCUUAUUGAUGAUCCGGUGCGAGGAUCAGAAGUUUGGCGAGAGUGGGAAUCCGGGAUUAUAUACAACAGGCGGACAGGAGGAACUGAAGUGAAGGAGGUGGCGGGCAAACUACUUCGGCUCCGCGGGCUUCUCCGUACAGACGCCAUGGGGUGGGGGAUCCGGCGGAGCUGAUGUCUGCGCGAGAAGGGAGGGAAGACGCGGACUCUCGUCGCUGCUUCUCGCCGCCUCACCUCUCGCGCUGCCGUCUCUCGCGUGUGUGCGUCCUCCCACGCGCGUCUGCUUGGGGGGCUUUUCGGCUUCCUCGCGUGCAAGGUAACCUGCGCUGUGUGGUGGGCAACGCACGCCUGGCGCCGGCAGGCCCACCCACGCCCCGUUCCCCCCCCCCCUGAGCCCCUCGCCCUCGCUGCCGUGUCGGAGUCGCCCGUCUGACGCUCGCCCGGCGCUCCGUUGGCGAUGUGAAGGAGCGAAGGACGACGCGGGACGGUGACACGUGCGCUGCAGGCCUGGAAACGGCGGCGUGGAGGGGGAGCGAAGGAGGGGCAGGUGACCGAGGUGGACACGGAGGACAAACGUGGCGGUGUGGAGAAACGGACGCCCUCGCACGGAGGACGGGAGGCGCCACGCCACGCUGCAUCGGUCGCCCGCCCCCUCCACACCCCGCAGUCGCGAUGGCGCGUCUUCCUGGUGUGUCUCCCUCGCGCCGCCUUUGGCCCCGUCGCUGCCGCUGCGACUCCCCCGCGCCCCUGGCGGCACACCCGCGAGGGGAAGAGGCAGCACAGCGGCGCGAAGACGCAGGCCGAGCACAGUCUCCCCGCACCCCCCCUCCGCACGCACGCGCAUAUGCUGCCGUUUUUUUCGUUUCUCUUUCCGUGUUUUCGCUUCGUUUGACAUUCGCAUGUUUCUUUUGAUUUCUCUCGUUUUCGUCUCUCUCCCUAUGCAGAGAAGAGCCGCAUGGACGUGUGCGUGUGCGUGCCCCUCUGCCGUUUUCCCGUUGUGUCUCCGUGCCGCUGCCCUGCUCCUCGUCUUCCCCGCCCCUCCCUGCGCGCGUGUGUGUGUGCGAGGGCGGCUGAUCGAGGGGACGACGAGGUGGAGAGCAGCCGCGGCACCGCAGCGCUGGGGAUACAUGGGGAGUGUGCAGGAGCAGCGGAGGAGAGGCACGCACACGCACUCUGGCAAGGGAGCGAUGACGCGGAGGCCGCAGGGGAAUACGCAGCGGAGCGAGUGGGUACGGAGGCGGAGCGGAGGCGAGGCAGUGUUGCUUCUCUGUUCGCCCCGCUUGCGUUCGACUCGAGUGUGUCUGCGUGUGCGUCCCCUGCGGCCCUCGGGCCCCUCGCCUCUCUUGCGCGCUUCGCUUCGUUUGUUUCGUUGCUGUGGCUGUCUAACUACACUUUCGAGUCGGCCAGAGUCCCGUGUGGAGAUUAUUCACACCAUAUUACGGCAUGCGGCGGCUUGAGGCGACCGAGGGAGGGGCAUGGCGUGCAGGCGGAGCACAAGGUGUCAGAGGGCCCUGGCCUGCGGCUGGCCCACCUCCUCUCUGUGCUCAUGCGGCACGCGCCUACACCAGCCCCUGCGGCCAGCACGGCUGACGUCGCCGCCUCCGCCCUCGAGGAGGAAGCCUGGCCGCGGCCUGCCUGGACCGAUGCAUGCCGCCCACCCGGGUCUGCGUCUGGCGCCGCUAGCGCCGCAGGUGCCCGAGGAAUGGACGAGCAAAGACAAGGCGGGCCGCUAGCGGCAUGGCUCGAUACCCCAGCAGACGACUUGUCUUCGCCGGCGCGGAUGUAGCCGUGGCGCAACAGAGGGGCGUGUGAGCUGUGCGCGAAUGCGUACAUGUGCCGACUUGCCCGUCGCGGAGUAAGAUUUUUAUAUUUAAAUACGCUGUUUUUCCUGGCAAACACGCGUAGCAGAAACUAGUAAGUGCAGCGGCAUGGCGACGAGUAUACAUAUACACUAUACACAUAUGUCUAUCUGUAUCUAGAGCGCUGCACCGUCAAUCCGUCAAAACGCCACGCACUUUGUUUUCCCCGCCGACCACCGCCCCCUGUGCUCUCCCGAGCGGGCGGAGCGCGUGCGCGUGCGUCCCUCUCUCCUCGCGCUUCUCCGUUGCUUGCUUUUUGCUUUCUGUCAUUAUUGUCUCCGUUCCUCGACUG
rnacentral:misc_RNA from 1 species